rnacentral:tRNA from 1 species
UCCCUGACAGUCCAGGGGUCAAGACUCUGCGCUUCCAGUGCAGGGGGCUCAGGUUCGAUCCUGGUAGGGGAA